rnacentral:rRNA from 1 species
UACGUAGGGUGCAAGCGUUGUCCGGAAUUAUUGGGCGUAAGGAGCUCGUAGGCGGUUUGUCGCGUCGAAUGUGAAAACCCGGGGCUCAACCCCGGGCCUGCAUUCGAUACGGGCAGACUAGAGUUCGGUAGGGGAGUCUGGAAUUCCUGGUGUAGCGGUGAAAUGCGCAGAUAUCAGGAGGAACACCGGUGGCGAAGGCAGAUCUCUGGGCCGUAACUGACGCUGAGGAGCGAAAGCAUGGGGAGCGAACAGG